UACGGGGGGGGCAAGCGUUGUUCGGAAUUACUGGGCGUAAAGGGCUUGUAGGUGGCCAACUAAGUCAGACGUGAAAUCCCUCGGCUUAACCGGGGAACUGCGUCUGAUACUGGAUGGCUUGAGUGUGGGAGAGGGAUGCGGAAUUCCAGGUGUAGCGGUGAAAUGCGUAGAUAUCUGGAGGAACACCGGUGGCGAAGGCGGCAUCCUGGACCAUUACUGACACUGAAAAGCGAAAGCCAGGGGAGCAAACAGG
rnacentral:rRNA from 1 species